GUCAAAGGCAGAGAUUUUCAGGGAGAAGAACGAUAUUACAUUGGCAAUUCUGAAUUACAGUCAGGCCAUUAAGUGCAGGCCCAAAGAUGCUAGCCUCUACUUUAAGAGAGGGGAGAUGUACGAGAAGACAAACAAAGUUCUGGCGAUUGAUGACUUCUCGAAAUGUAUUUAUUAUGAUCCCAAAAGAUCAGACGCAUUAUGGAAACGUGGGAUGUUUUACUUUGAAAACGAAAACUGGACCGGGGCCGUAUAUGAUUUUACAUCUCUGUUAAAACUUGAACCCCAUAAUUCUCAGGCAAGGACAAACAGGGGGAGAGCAUAUUUCAAAAGGAAUUUAUUCAAACAAGCAACCGAAGACUUUUCUGCUGCCAUCCACUCAGACCCCAACAACUGGCUAGCCCUGUACUACCGAGCCUGCUUAUUUAGAAAGUGUAGCCCUCAAAGAGCGCUGCAGGACUACAGUGUGUCAGUUCUUAUAAAUGAUGGCUACGAUAACCUUAAUUGUUUUCUACAUCGGGGUAUACUCUAUACAGAAUUAAAGUUUUGGAUGCUGGCAGUUUGUGAUUUUGAAACUGUCGUUACUCUCGAAAGAACUGCUACUUUGGCUUACAUAAAUAUUGGCCUUAUAUAUCUACAACACCUGGAUAAUUAUACCGAAGCCUUUUGGUGGUUUACUGAGGCAAUUAGAGUCGAUCCUUUAUAUAUUCAAAGCUAUAUUUGUAGAGCAGAAACCUAUUCUAAGCUGCAUAAACUGAAAAAAGCAGUAACUGAAUUAUCUCGGGCUAUCCAUCUCCAGCCUGAUGCAAUCC
rnacentral:lncRNA from 1 species